rnacentral:rRNA from 1 species
UGCUGGAGGUAUCAGAAGUGCGAAUGCUGACAUAAGUAACGAUAAAGCGGGUGAAAAGCCCGCUCGCCGGAAGACCAAGGGUUCCUGUCCAACGUUAAUCGGGGCAGGGUGAGUCGACCCCUAAGGCGAGGCCGAAAGGCGUAGUCGAUGGGAAACGGGUUAAUAUUCCCGUACUUGGUGUUACUGCGAAGGGGGGACGGAGAAGGCUAUGUUGGCCGGGCGACGGUUGUCCCGGUUUAAGCGUGUAGGUGUGUGUUCCAGGUAAAUCCGGUUCACUUUAACACUGAGGCGUGAUGACGAGGCACUACGGUGCUGAAGCAACAAAUGCCCUGCUUCCAGGAAAAGCCUCUAAGCAUCAGGUAACAUCAAAUCGUACCCCAAACCGACACAGGUGGUCAGGUAGAGAAUACCAAGGCGCUUGAGAGAACUCGGGUGAAGGAACUAGGCAAAAUGGUGCCGUAACUUCGGGAGAAGGCACGCUGACACGUAGGUGAAGUGAUUUACUCACGGAGCUGAAGUCAGUCGAAGAUACCAGCUGGCUGCAACUGUUUAUUAAAAACACAGCACUGUGCAAACACGAAAGUGGACGUAUACGGUGUGACGCCUGCCCGGUGCCGGAAGGUUAAUUGAUGGGGUCAGCGCAAGCGAAGCUCCUGAUCGAAGCCCCGGUAAACGGCGGCCGUAACUAUAACGGUCCUAAGGUAGCGAAAUUCCUUGUCGGGUAAGUUCCGACCUGCACGAAUGGCGUAAUGAUGGCCAGGCUGUCUCCACCCGAGACUCAGUGAAAUUGAACUCGCUGUGAAGAUGCAGUGUACCCGCGGCAAGACGGAAAGACCCCGUGAACCUUUACUAUAGCUUGACACUGAACAUUGAGCCUUGAUGUGUAGGAUAGGUGGGAGGCUUUGAAGCGUGGACGCCAGUCUGCGUGGAGCCGACCUUGAAAUACCACCCUUUAAUGUUUGAUGUUCUAACGUGGACCCGUAAUCCGGGUUGCGGACAGUGUCUGGUGGGUAGUUUGACUGGGGCGGUCUCCUCCUAAAGAGUAACGGAGGAGCACGAAGGUUGGCUAAUCCUGGUCGGACAUCAGGAGGUUAGUGCAAUGGCAUAAGCCAGCUUGACUGCGAGCGUGACGGCGCGAGCAGGUGCGAAAGCAGGUCAUAGUGAUCCGGUGGUUCUGAAUGGAAGGGCCAUCGCUCAACGGAUAAAAGGUACUCCGGGGAUAACAGGCUGAUACCGCCCAAGAGUUCAUAUCGACGGCGGUGUUUGGCACCUCGAUGUCGGCUCAUCACAUCCUGGGGCUGAAGUAGGUCCCAAGGGUAUGGCUGUUCGCCAUUUAAAGUGGUACGCGAGCUGGGUUUAGAACGUCGUGAGACAGUUCGGUCCCUAUCUGCCGUGGGCGCUGGAGAACUGAGGGGGGCUGCUCCUAGUACGAGAGGACCGGAGUGGACGCAUCACUGGUGUUCGGGUUGUCAUGCCAAUGGCACUGCCCGGUAGCUAAAUGCGGAAGAGAUAAGUGCUGAAAGCAUCUAAGCACGAAACUUGCCCCGAGAUGAGUUCUCCCUGAGACUUUAGGUCUCCUGAAGGAACGUUGAAGACGACGACGUUGAUAGGCCGGGUGUGUAAGCGCAGCGAUGCGUUGAGCUAACCGGUACUAAUGAACCGUGAGGCUUAACCUUACAACGCCGAAG